GAUGAGAACGCAGCGAAAUGCGAUAAGUAAUGUGAAUUGCAGAAUUCAGUGAAUCAUCGAAUCUUUGAACGCACCUUGCGCUCCUUGGCAUUCCGAGGAGCAUGCCUGUUUGAGUGUCAUUAAAUUCUCAAGACCUGUCUGCUUUUUUGAUAGGUAUUGGAUUUUGGGGGUUGCAGGCUGUUUCAAAUAAAUAGCCUUGCUCUCCUUGAAUGUAUUAGUGGAGAAAAGCCAUUGAACUCCAUUGGUGUGAUAAAACCUAUCAAUGCCAGGAGCAAUAUUACUACUUCUCUCUGCUGUCUAACUGUGACUGUCUGUAUUAAUUAGUAUGGAUGGGGACAACUUGACCAACUUGACCUCAAAUCAGGUAGGACUACCCGCUGAACUUAAGCAUAUCAAUAAGCGGAGGA
rnacentral:misc_RNA from 1 species